rnacentral:rRNA from 1 species
UAAGGAAUAUUGCUCAAUGGGAGAAAUCCUGAAGCAGCAACGCCGCGUGGAGGAUGAAGGGUCUAUGACUUGUAAACUCCUGUAAAGAAGGAAAAAAUUCCCAUUAGAUGGGAGAUGAUGGUACUUCUGGAGUAAGCCCCGGCUAACUACGUGCCAGCAGCCGCGGUAAUACGUAGGGGGCAAGCGUUGUCCGGAUUUACUGGGUGUAAAGGGUGUUCAGGCGGAUUUGUAAGUCAGAGGUGAAAUCUUACAGCUUAACUGUGAAACUGCCUGUGAGACUGCAAGCCUAGAGUAUGGAAGAGAGUGAUGGAAUAUCUGGUGUAGCAGUGAAAUGCGUAGAUAUCAGAUAGAACACCAAUGGCGAAGGCAGUCACUUGGUCCAUUACUGACGCUAAAGCACGAAAGCGUGGGUAGCAAACA